rnacentral:snRNA from 1 species
AUCGCUUCUCGGCCUUUUGGCUAAGAUCAAAGUGUAGUAUCUGUUCUUAUCGGUUUAAUCUCCGGUACGACUUCUAUUGAAGUCAUUCGAGAUUAACAGAUUUUUGGGACCAGCGGAGUCGUGAAGGCUUGCCUUCCGCUCUGCACGGGUC